UAAACGCUAACUAAAUAUUCAGAACUCAUUUAGAAUUGAUUCCUAAUCGUUUAGAACGACGUAAAUGUCAUCUAAACGCAAAUUAAAUAUUCAGAACACGUUUAGAAUAGAUUCCUAAACGUUUAGAUCGACGUAAAUGCCAUCUAAACGUGAUCUAAACCAAUUUUAAACCAACAAAUGCCCGUUGGGUAAGUUUAACGCAACUACGGAUUUAUAAAUUCUGGGGCUUUCCAAUAUGGCGUCUUUUGGCUUCAAAAAUUUCGGAAUUUUAUUAGGAGAUGCGCUAUCCAGUUAUUAUAGAGAUCAGUGCCCCCAUAGAAAAAACGAAAACGAGAUUGCGCUUUCGAGUUAUUGCACUUAGAAGUGUAACAAGUACGUCCGAAACAUUCAAUUAUAAACAAUUUAAUAAAAACGCAACGAGAUUCAUCAAAACGUUUUUCUACUAACUUACUAUAAAUGAAAUUAGCAUAAAAUGCUCAAUAAAGUAGUGCAAAAUAUCUCCCAUAUUGGUUAUUGUGAAUGUUGGAGUUAAAGGUAAAGUUUCAUAAAUAUAUAUCAUCAAUGGCCUAAUCCUCUGGAUUAACCACUUUUAUUCAAGAAGAGCGUGUGCAGUUUAAGAUAGAGUAGCAAAGUAGCAGUAUUGCUUUGAGGUUGUUUAAUAAGAGUUGUUGUUUAAUGGAAUCAAAAUCAAUAAGAAAAUCAAAUAUUUAAAAGUUAUGUUCAGUUCAGUGUUAAAUGAUCAAAACCAAAUAUAAUGCAGGAUUUUUAUCUUGAAGGAGUAGUUGAUCGAUACAAAACUGAUAGAGUAGUACGAAUAAAAUGAUGACGAGCGAUUUAUAUAUAUAAAUCGCCCUUAUAUAUAUAUAUACCCCUUAUAAGGGGUAUUCGAUGCAAAGCUUUACAAAAAAUCGACGUUGGAUGAAAAACAGCUUGAAAAACUUAAAAUAUUUAUAGUUAACAAACUAAUUUUUUUGUAUUUAUUUUUAUUUUUGAAUUUGUAUUUAUUUAUUUUGUACAAUUUAUUAUUAUUUCAUAAUACAUUUACUGUGUUAAAGGGU